rnacentral:rRNA from 1 species
GACGAACGCUGGCGGCGUGCUUAACACAUGCAAGCCGAACGGUAAGGCCCUUCGGGGUACACGAGUGGCGAACGGGUGAGUAACACGUGGGUGAUCUGCCCUGCACUUCGGGAUAAGCCUGGGAAACUGGGUCUAAUACCGGAUAGGACCACUGCCUGCAUGGGUGGUGGUGGAAAGCUUUUGCGGGGUGGGAUGGGCCCGCGGCCUAUCAGCUUGUUGGUGGGGUGAUGGCCUACCAAGGCGACGACGGGUAGCCGGCCUGAGAGGGUGACCGGCCAAACUGGGACUUAGAUACGGCCCAGAGUCCUACGGGAGGCAGCAGUGGGGAAUAUGGCACAAUGGGCGCAAGCCUGAUGCAGCGACGCCGCGUGAGGGAUGACGGCCUUCGGGUUGUAAACCUCUUUCAGCACCGACGAAGCGCAAGUGACGGUAGGUGCAGAAGAAGGACCGGCCAACUACGUGCCAGCAGCCGCGGUAA